GCAAAAAAACGUUUUUUUAAUUUGAAAAUGUUAUUGCCUUUGAAACACGACUGAUCAAUUACAGACCCAUAAGUUAACUCAGUAUUGUAACUGAGUCUCACUGUUAAAUUAAAUAUUACACCAGUGAUCUUCUGCUUGAACUUUUGUAAAUGUUUGUAUUUACUGUAGGUGCCAGUGCAAUCCCAGACCCUUAUGCCACGGAGAAAUUCCUGAGUCAAGAGUCAUGUCAUAAAGCAAGCUGUCACGGCAGCCAUAUUUAAGAUGGCAGAUUAGCAGCAAGAGACAAGCCUUGGUGUCGGGAGGUUGUGUGAAAACCGAAGGGGGUCGCAGAACGUGGAGAGGAGUCAGACUCUGGGAAGAAGACGGUCACCUGUGUGCAGGAGGGAUGAGCAAAGCUGCCAAUCAGACAAAAGUCUGGACGCAGCACAAUCCCGCUCCCCGGCCGGCUGCCCGCCGCCUGGCCUCGGGCUGAGAGGGAUAACUGAAUUACAGCAGCAGCAAAAAGCUAAUCUCACUUCCUCUGCGGGGGUCACAUGUGCGUACACUUGUCGUCCUUUCUGUGGGUUGCUGCGAGCGCUCGUCUGUGGGUCUGAGCGCAUUUGCUCAGGCUCAGCACGGCUUUUUGGAGAGCGUGUCGCCCCGGCGGUGAGAGAGCAUGUUUACUAGAUGGAGAUGGAGGCUCACGUCCAGCAGUCCUGCCGGGAACAGAAGGAAACCAUAGUGAUGAAAUCGGGCACGCAGCAUUCAGCUGCUGGUGGAGCUCAGGAAAGCAAAGUGGUUCUCCAGGUGUGUGUCAGACCGCGGUCAAACACUGGCAGGUCAUGGUGUAUCUGAAGGGACGUUUCCAUGAGCAGCCGGUCGGAUCAAAGAGACGCUAACACUGACUCAUUAAACAUAAACGGAGUUUCAGCAUCAAA